rfam:Microbacteriaceae bacterium BACL25 MAG-120322-bin65 contig00243_1_120322-bin65, whole genome shotgun sequence.
UUUAAUCCCGAGUUUGAGACUCCCGUCCGUGACCCCUGUGGCACCUUCCCCGGUUCCAGGUCAGUACCACGGAAGGGAAUCUCAAAUUCGAGGUGAGAGCCA